AACUCGGUGUUUCUCAACACCACCUCACAUAUUUCGAAUGGGAUGG
rfam:Chlamydomonas reinhardtii strain CC-503 cw92 mt+ CHLREscaffold_54 genomic scaffold, whole genome shotgun sequence.